UGGUUACUCGCUUUGAAAGAGAAAGGACUGAGAGUUUGCUGGAACCUGCUGAUGUUCUGCGGUGUGUCCUUCCUGAUUGUUUUUCGCGGUUUGUUGUGGAUGCAGAUUUUACUUACCAGGAUUUUAGUCCUAGAGGAAUGCAGGCCCCCCCAACCAUGAGAGCUCAGGACUAUUCGUGGGAAGAUCACGGUUU